rnacentral:lncRNA from 1 species
AGGGAAAUAAAACCCCACACGCUUUUAGUCCGUGUCACUGCAGGGGCAUCUGAGCAACCCGUAACGUGUGCGCUGACACGGUUUCACGUGAGGGACGUUUUAGGAGUAGUUCACAGACUCUAAGGAGGCUGUGCAACCUGGUUUGAAAAGUGAUAUCAUCCAUAAAAAGUAUUUCUCUAAUUGAUUUAUAAAAACACCUAUUUGAAGGAAAUCUGCAACACUGGGAGCCCCGUCCUCUUCAGCCUCACAGGAGAGGCCAUUGGGUCUGGCCAAGGCAAAUAGGUGUGGUGGUUCUGUAACAAGUAUAUUUCUGGAACUAUUACACAGGAAUAAGGGUAGUUCAUCUCAACCAGUUCUCAUCCAUCGGCUGCACCAUUGA